GUUCUCCCGGGGAAGUUGUCCCUGGAUCACGGGACUCUGGCAGUGGCGGGCUGCACAGGCUCCCCGGAAAUGGGGUGUGGAGAGUGCCCUGUGCUCGCACACAGGCCCCUUGGUGGCGGCAGCAGCAGCCUUAGCGUCUCCUGCCCGUCUCUGGGGUCCGCGCUUUUAGCCACGGCUCGCGCCCGUCUCUGGAGCUCCUUUAAGCAGCGCUCUUAAUCCCCUCUCCUCACGCACCAGGAAACAAAGAGGGUUUAUGCUGUAUGGGACUCUCUGUGCUUCCUGGACUUGGGAUGAAACAUUCUGUUCUGGAACAGAAGAAAAAACAUUCUUCACACAGUGCUUAUGAGUCUCUGAAGUCUUUACUGGUACUCAGCAUACCUUCACACCCUCACGGGGACAUAGGUUCGAGCCCUGGUCUGGGAAGAUCCCACAUGCCGCAGAGGAACUAAGCCCAUGCGCCACAACUACUGAGCCUGCGCGCCACAACUACUGAGCCCACAUGCCACAACUGCUGAAGCCCACGCACCUAGAGCCCAUGCUCCGCAACGAGAAGCCACCACAAUGAGAAGUUAGCUUACUGCAACGAAGAGUAGCCCCCGCUUGCCGCAACUAGAGAAAGCCUGUGCGCAGCAACGAAGACCCAACACAGCCAAAAAUAAAUUAAUUUUUUAAAAAAAGAUUUACUUAGAAAGGAUUUUGGAAUAUGAUCAAUAAAUAUUUAAGAAAGAAAAAUAUUUGUUCAGAGUUUAACAAAUUCUCACAUCCUACAGAUGACAGAUUUCUGAGAGUACACAUUUUACUUUUUUGUCAAAAUUUAGUCACUUUAUUCUCCAUGUACCCUUUUAAACGUUUAAUAUUUUUGGUUCAUGUUUUUAUUAUUUAAACUUUCCCUUGCAUAAAUGAAAAUUCACUUUUACUUUACUAUUCAAUAUCUCUAUUUUAUAUUUGUAACUAAGAUAUUUUGAAGGUUAUAGGCCUGAUAAUAGUCAUUUAAUUUACAAAACCAUUCUUAAUUAUCUGUUUCUAACUAUGAAUUUUUGUGACAUUCUAUUUCACUAAUUUCUAUCUUAGAUGACAAUAAAAAUAUCCCCUUUUAUUCAAUUCCUGCAAUCUCUGCCUUAUAUACAGAGGAAUUAUAUCUACUUGGAGUCACAAGAAUAAAAUAUUUCAACGUCACUUCCACUUCUACACAUACUUGAGUAGCUGGUAACAAACUUGCCCUCCCACCAUAAAUAAUCAGAUAUUUGGACAAAAUGUUCUCAGUCAUAGGACAAUAGGUAACAAAGACUGUGAUAAUGAGCUUUGUAUGUGUAGAGCUGGUUUAUUUUGAUGUUUUAAAGAAAAUCUUACUCCAAUUCAAUGAAAUUCAAACUUUCUAAUGUUAAAGACCUUGUAGAUAUCUCUUUUCUUUGGACUAUGUACUCCUUUCUAGUCCAUCUUACUGGCCUGAAGAGCUUUGG